rnacentral:misc_RNA from 1 species
GAUGAAGAACGUAGCGAAAUGCGAUAAGUAAUGUGAAUUGCAGAAUUCAGUGAAUCGUCGAAUCUUUGAACGCACAUUGCGCCCGCCAGCAUUCUGGCGGGCAUGCCUGUUCGAGCGUCAUUUCAACCCUCGAGCCCCCCCGGGGGCCUCGGUGUUGGGGGACGGCACACCAGCCGCCCCCGAAAUGCAGUGGCGACCCCGCCGCAGCCUCCCCUGCGUAGUAGCACACACCUCGCACCGGAGCGCGGAGGCGGUCACGCCGUAAAACGCCCAACUUUCUUAGAGUUGACCUCGGAUCAGGUAGGAAUACCCGCUGAACUUAAGCAUAUCAAUAAGCGGAGGA